AACGAACGCUGGCGGCGCGCCUAAUACAUGCAAGUCGAACGAGAAGGUGUAGCAAUACACUUGUAAAGUGGCGAACGGGUGAGGAAUACAUGGGUGACCUACCCUCGAGUGGGGAAUAACCAGCCGAAAGGUUGGCUAAUACCGCGUACGCUUCCCAGUCUACGGGUUGGGAAGGAAAGCGAUGCCGUGGGUAUCGCGCUCAAGGUUGGGCUCAUGUCCUAUCAGCUUGUUGGNGAGGUAACGGCUCACCAAGGCAACGACGGGUAGCUGGUCUGAGAGGACGAUCAGCCACACUGGCACUGCGACACGGGCCAGACUCCUACGGGAGGCAGCAGUAAGGAAUAUUGCGCAAUGGGCGAAAGCCUGACGCAGCGACGCCGC
rnacentral:rRNA from 1 species